rnacentral:rRNA from 1 species
AUGCUUGUGAUGUGGGAGUUGUGGAAGCACAGAAAUGCAAUCGUCUUCGAUGGGGCAACGCCAUCCAUAAGGCAAGUAUUGCAACGUGUCAAGGAGGAGGGAAAAACAUGGAAAAGGGCAGGACUCUUCAAGUGCGACACGACGGCGUUCUUUGGGGAGUUAGAUAGGUGGGCAUGCGUGAGGAGUUAG